rnacentral:misc_RNA from 1 species
UCUCCGUAGGUGAACCAGCGGAGGGAUCAUUACCGAGUUCAUGCCCUACCGGGUAGAGCUCACACCCUAUUUUGUUGUUACUUUGUUUCUUUGGCCGCCCGGUAGGCUCCGGCGCGACUCCCGACGCCCCCUGACAAGCGCUCGCCAGAGGCCCCAAAGCCCUGCAUACAAGUAUCGCCAGAGUUCUAAAUAAUGAUUAAAACUUUCUACAACGGAUGUCUUGCGUAUGGCAUCGAUGAAGAACGCGGCAGAACGGAAGACCCCGCGUGUGAACUCCAA